AGCGGCGAACGGGUGAGUAACACGUGAGCAACCUGCCCCCAAGUCUGGGAUAAGCCUGGGAAACCGGGUCUAAUACUGGAUGCCCUCGUCGCAUGGAAAGUUUCGCUUGGGGAGGGGCUCGCGGCCUAUCAGCUUGUUGGUGGGGUAACGGCCUACCAAGGCGUCGACGGGUAGCUGGUCUGAGAGGACGACCAGCCACACUGGGACUGAGACACGGCCCAGACUCCUACGGGAGGCAGCAGUAGGGAAUCUUGCGCAAUGGGCGAAAGCCUGACGCAGCAACGCCGCGUGGGGGAUGAAGGCUCUCGGGUCGUAAACCCCUUUCAGUGGGAACGAAUGACGGUACCCACAGAAGAAGGACCGGCCAACUACGUGCCAGCAGCCGCGGUAACACGUAGGGUCCGAGCGUUGUCCGGAUUUAUUGGGCGUAAAGGGCCCGUAGGCGGCUUGGUAAGUCGGGUGUGAAAACCACAGGCUCAAACUGGGGACGCCACCCGAUAC
rnacentral:rRNA from 1 species